GGGAGGGGGGAUCGCGGGGGUGACGUGCGCCGAGAGGCUGGCUACAGAGUUUCCCUCUGAGGAUAUUUUACUGAUUACAGCAUCUCCGGUUAUAAAAAAAGUAAUAAACUUCAGACAGAUUUCCAGAGCUUUAGAAGAAUUUGACGUUGAGGAACAAGCAAGCAGCGUGUUGGAGAGAUGCUACCCUAACAUUAAAGUUAUCCAGUCUGGAGUGAAACAAUUGAAAAGCGAUGAGCAUAAAGUAAUCACAGAAGACGGCAAGGAGUACGCGUAUGAGAAGCUUUGCCUGUGCGCUGGAGCCAAGCCGAAAUUAAUCACCGAAGGAAACCGUUUUGUGUUGGGCAUUCGGGAU